rnacentral:rRNA from 1 species
UACAGAGGUCUCAAGCGUUGUUCGGAUUCAUUGGGCGUAAAGGGUGCGUAGGCGGCGCGGUAAGUCGGGUGUGAAAUCUUGGAGCUUAACUCCGAAACUGCAUUCGAUACUGCCGUGCUUGAGGACUGGAGAGGAGACUGGAAUUUACGGUGUAGCGGUGAAAUGCGCAGAUAUCAGGAAGAACACCCGUGGCUAAGGCGGCUCUCUAGUACGGUACUGACGCUGAGACGCGAAAGCGUGGGGAGCAAACAGG